rnacentral:rRNA from 1 species
GGGUCAUUAGGUUGGUCGUGCCACCGGUACGUACUGGUCUCACUGAUUCCUCCUUCCUGAAGAACCGUAAUGCUAUUAAUUUGGUGUUGCGGGGAAACAGGACUGUUACUUUGAAAAAAUUAGAGUGUUUAAAGCAAGCUAACGCUUGAAUACAUUAGCAUGGAAUAAUGAAAUAGGACGAUCGAUCCUAUUUUGUUGGUUUCUAGGAUUGACGUA